CUUUUAAAUAAGUAAGAGUUUGUGGUGGAUGCCUUGGGUCUGGAAGUCGAUGAAGGACGUGAUUACCUGCGAUAAGCCUCGUGGAGCUGGAUAUAAGCUACGAAGCGGGGAUUUCCGAAUGGGGAAACCUAACUAGAGUAAUUUCUAGUUGCUAUGCAAUGAAUACAUAGUUGCAUUUGCGAGACACGUUGUGAACUGAAACAUCUUAGUAGCAACAGGAAGAGAAAAUAAAUAAUGAUUCCAUUAGUAGCGGCGAGCGAACGUGGAAGAGCCCAAACCAACAUUAGUUGGGGUUGUAGGACUAUCUACAUAAAGUUACAAAUUUUUAUCAUAGCGGAAAUAGUUGGGAAGCUAUAGCACAGAAGGUGAUACUCCUGUACGUGAAAUGGUAAAAACUUUUGAUAGUAUCCUGAGUAGGGCGGGGCACGUGAAACCCUGUCUGAAUCUGCCGGGACCAUCCGGUAAGGCUAAAUACUAACCAGACACCGAUAGUGAACUAGUA
rnacentral:rRNA from 1 species